UAGGGAAUCUUCCGCAAUGGACGCAAGUCUGACGGAGCAACGCCGCGUGAGUGAAGAAGGAUUUCGGUUCGUAAAACUCUGUUGUUAGAGAAGAACAGCGCAUAGAGUAACUGUUAUGCGUGUGACGGUAUCUAACCAGAAAGCCACGGCUAACUACGUGCCAGCAGCCGCGGUAAUACGUAGGUGGCAAGCGUUGUCCGGAUUUAUUGGGUGUAAAGCGAGCGCAGGCGGUCAAUUAAGUCUGAUGUGAAAGCCCCCGGCUCAACCGGGGAGGGUCAUUGGAAACUGGUUGACUUGAGUGCAGAAGAGGAGAGUGGAAUUCCAUGUGUAGCGGUGAAAUGCGUAGAUAUAUGGAGGAACACCGGUGGCGAAAGCGGCUCUCUGGUCUGUAACUGACGCUGAGGCUCGAAAGCGUGGGGAGCGAACAGG
rnacentral:rRNA from 1 species